rnacentral:rRNA from 1 species
GACGAACGCUGGCGGCGUGCUUAACACAUGCAAGUCGAACGGAAAGGCCCUGCUUUUGUGGGGUGCUCGAGUGGCGAACGGGUGAGUAACACGUGAGUAACCUGCCCUUGACUUUGGGAUAACUUCAGGAAACUGGGGCUAAUACCGGAUAGGAGCUCAUGCUGCAUGGUGGGGGUUGGAACGUUUCGGCGGUUGGGGAUGGACUCGCGGCUUAUCAGCUUGUUGGUGGGGUAGUGGCUUACCAAGGCUUUGACGGGUAGCCGGCCUGAGAGGGGGACCGGCGACAUUGGGACUGAGAUACGGCCCAGACUCCUACGGUAGGCAGCAGUGGGGAAUAUUGCACAAUGGGCGGAAGCCUGAUGCAGCAACGCCGCGUGCGGGAUGACGGCCUUCGGGUUGGAAACCGCUUUCGCCUGUGACGAAGCGUGAGUGACGGUAAUGGGUAAAGAAGCACCGGCUAACUACGUG